AGAGUGGUUUAGGACAAGAACAAAUAAAGCCAAAGAUCCUCCUGGCUGUAGCACGCACUCCGAGGACACGAAGACCCAACACGAAAGUAGCUUUAAUUAUAUUUUCCUGACCCCACGAAAGCUAAGAAACAAACUGGGAUUAGAUACCCCACUAUG
rnacentral:rRNA from 1 species